GACGAACGCUGGCGGCGUGCUUAACACAUGCAAGUCGAACGGAAAGGCCCUGCUUUUGUGGGGUGCUCGAGUGGCGAACGGGUGAGUAACACGUGAGUAACCUGCCCUUGACUUUGGGAUAACUUCAGGAAACUGGGGCUAAUACCGGAUAGGAGCUCCUGCUGCAUGGUGGGGGUUGGAAAGUUUCGGCGGUUGGGGAUGGACUCGCGGCUUAUCAGCUUGUUGGUGGGGUAGUGGCUUACCAAGGCUUUGACGGGUAGCCGGCCUGAGAGGGUGACCGGCCACAUUGGGACUGAGAUGCGGCCCAGACUCCUACGGGAGGCAGCAGUGGGAAAUAUUGCACAAUGGGCGGAAGCCUGAUGCAGCAACGCCGCGUGCGGGAUGACGGCCUUCGGGUUGUAAACCGCUUUCGCCUGUGACGAAGCGUGAGUGACGGUAAUGGGUAAAGAAGCACCGGCUAACUACG
rnacentral:rRNA from 1 species